AUCGAACUCGGAGAUAGCUGGUUCUCCUCGAAAUAGCUUUAGGGCUAGCCUCAGAGUAAGAGUCAUGGAGGUAGAGCACUGAUCGAGCUAGGGGCCCAACAAGGUUACCGAACUCUUUCAAACUCCGAAUGCCAUGAGUUAAUCUCUGGGAGUCAGACUGCGGGGGAUAAGCUCCGUAGUCGAAAGGGAAACAGCCCAGACCGACAGCUAAGGUCCCCAAGUGCGAACUAAGUGGAAAAGGAUGUGGAACUGCACAGACAACCAGGAUGUUGGCUUAGAAGCAGCCACUCAUUUAAAGAGUGCGUAAUAGCUCACUGGUCAAGUGGUUCUGCGCCGAAAAUGUAACGGGGCUCAAGUUCGCCACCGAAGCUUCGGAUGUGUUGAUUAUCUUGUAUAGUUGAUGCAUGGUAGAGGAGCGUUCCAACAGCGUAGAAGGUAGACUGAAAAGACUGCUGGAGUGGUUGGAAGUGAGAAUGCCGGUAUGAGUAGCGAAAAGGAAGGUGAGAAUCCUUCCCGCCGAAAACCUAAGGAUUCCUGAGGAAGGUUCGUCCGCUCAGGGUAAGUCGGGACCUAAGACGAGGCCGAAGGGCGUAGUCGAUGGACAACAGGUUGAAAUUCCUGUACCACCGAAGAUCGUUGGAGUGAAGUGGUGACACAGAAGGGUAGGUCAUCAUCCUGAUGGAUGGGUGUCCAAGCGAGUAGGGAGCAGGGCAGGCAAAUCCGCCUUGCAAAAAUCCUGAGACGUGAUGGGGAAGCGAAUUAAGUAGCCGAACUGAUUGAUCCCAUGCUGUCAAGAAAAGCCACUAGCGAGAUUGUAGGUGCCCGUACCGCAAACCGACACAGGUAGGUGAGGAGAGAAUCCUAAGGCGCGCGAGAGAACCCCUGUUAAGGAACUCGGCAAAAUGACUCCGUAACUUCGGGAUAAGGAGUGCCUUUGUAGUGUGACAUUGAACAAAUGAAGCAUGAAGAGGCCGCAGAGAAAUGGCCCAAGCGACUGUUUAUCAAAAACACAGGUCUCUGCUAAGUGGCAACACGAAGUAUAGGGGCUGACGCCUGCCCAAUGCCGGAAGGUUAAGAGGAGAGGUUAGGAGCAAUCCAAAGCUUUGAAUCGAAGCCCCGGUCAAUGGCGGCCGUAACUAUAACGGUCCUAAGGUAGCGAAAUUCCUUGUCGGGUAAGUUCCGACCUGCACGAAAGGCGUAACGACUUGGGCGCUGUCUCGACAGGGGGCUCGGCGAAAUUGUAGUACCUGUGAAGAUGCAGGUUACCCGCGACAAGACGGAAAGACCCCAUGGAGCUUCACUGUAGCUUGGUAUGGAAUUUUGGUAUGAAAUGUAUAGGAUAGGUGGGAGACUUGGAAGCCGGGACGCUAGUCUCGGUGGAGUCACAAGUGGAAUACCACUCUUUUCAUAGUAGAGUUCUAACUGGCGGCCAUGAAUCUGGUCACAGGACAGUAUCAGGUGGGCAGUUUGACUGGGGCGGUCGCCUCCUAAAAGGUAACGGAGGCGCCC
rnacentral:rRNA from 1 species